rnacentral:lncRNA from 13 species
AUGAAAAAAGGAUUGAUUUUGACUAGGAGAAGGAACUUAUACAUUAUGGAUUGGCCUUCAGUCUUAGGGGGGAAAAGGUGCUAUAUAGAACCUAAAAAGGAUCUUCGGCUGUCCCCAUACGAUAACCUACACGGAUCCCAAAACGUUUUUUUCCUAGAACCCAAAAGGGUUCUACCUGGAACCAACAAGGGUUCUUUAUGGAACCCAAAAUGGUUCUACCUGGAACCCAAAAGGCUUUUACCUGGAACCAAAAAGAGUGAAGAACCCAGUGGUAAUCGUUACUUGGGGAAGACGAGGACGAAGAGGAUGAGAUUGAAAUGGAGGAGCCGGAGGAAGUUGAGAAGCCACCACAUGAUGCUGAUGCCUCUCAGCCAAGCUUUUGGAAGGUAAAUGUCAGGUAAAUGGAAGGUAAAUGUCAAUGAUGUAUUAUUAUUAUUAUGUACUAUUAGGCAGGGGUGAAAGUAAAUGUAACUUAUUCCCGGUAUGGGACCUCCUAUUUGCACAUGCACUUCUUUAGAAUCCCCAUUCAUUUAAUUAGAUUUCAAUGGGUCUAAUAGUCAAGAUUUGUCAUUUAAGUUUUACAAUGUAUUAGGCUACCUUUUAAUGUGGCAUAAACACAACCAGUCAUGAUGUUUACAUUGGAUUGUCAUUACUUCAAGAGGCUCAUGUAGGCUACCUGCGCACAGUACUCAGCGAAAAUGAUUCUUAAGCCUCGUUUAGAUAUUUUUCUGCCUCUAAUUUCUGACAUUUGGUAGGCUAUUUGUCAGUCAAAUUAUCUAUAAUUAGAUACAUGUUGCUUCUCUUCUGUCAAUACUUGAUGCUCAUCUAGAAUACUACAUAAAGCCUUGUUAACCAGAAUGAUGUCAUAAAUCGAUAGAAUGAUCAAUGCAUCAUCAACAAUCUAGUUGACAUCGGUAAAGUCUUCCCUUUCAUUUCUGAUUCUCUCACAGAGCAAGGACAUUCAGGGACCAGGGGACCAAAUUACAUCACUUGGACCAGUUUUAAUAAAAUGAAAAGCUGUGAAAACGAUCCAACAUGUUUCUGAUAUUAUUUCAGUUCGUCUUGGAUGCAUACAGUUAGCUUUUAUGCCGCUGAAAGAAACUGCACGUUUUUGAUACACAACAGGUCCUUAAGUGCGCAUUCGCAUUCUCUCAAGAUGCUGAAAGAAAAAAAUCAUAUUUACUGUCAGUAACACUAAAAUCUACAGUUGUGAAUAUUAUAAUAGGCUACAUGUGAGGCCUACAGUCAGUGUCCAGACUUAAGUUACUAUUCCGACUAUUAGGCUAUUCCAAAUAUUAGGCUAAUCAUUCUGGCAUCUAUACAGUGCAAUUUGAUAAGCGCAAAAGAAACAUCACUUACAAAACACCAAAAAGCAUUAUGAAUGACAUUCAUUAGGCCCAAACAAAUCUUAUAACCUAUAUUGAUGCGUAGACUGCUGUCAGCGCACGUCUCAGGCUCGACCACUCAUCUCUGCCUUGGCAAAAAUGGCUCUUUAUCAUCAAACCACAGCGCAUUUUGGAGAGCAUUCCACAAGUUUUCAAGUCUAUUCGCAAAUGUUUCAUGCAACUGACAUGCAGUAAUAACAAAUAGUGUAAUAGCCUACAGUUGUCUUCUAAUCUAUGUUUUAAUUAUUGUGAUAGGCUCAUGUUCUACCUGUACAGCGUACCCCCACUAUUUAUUUUGACGAUACGCCGUAUUGGACCAUUCCGGCUAACUUUCACCCCUGCCUAUACAUAAAUGAGGUAUAUAUUUUUGUAAAUACUCUCUUCUCUCUCCAGGACACUGUGGUGCACUGUCAGCUCUCAGACCUUUGUGAGGAGGACGACACUAUAGACAUGUCACCUGAGCUCCAGAGUGACAAGGAUAGGCAGGGGCUGGAGAGAUUGAACAACAUGCUACUGAGGCUGUAAACAGGGCCGAGGGACAAUCACACCCUUACAGGACACAUGCAUAGAUGCCAUACAUAGCUAGGUAUACAUGCCAUACAUAGCUAGGUACUAGUAAAGUGUAUGCUAGUCUUCACCCAGCUCAGAUUGUCACUGGUCAUUUCCCCGAUCUUGAAUGAUUUUUAAUUCUGACUCUUCGAGUAUUAGGCUAUAGGCCUAGAGGAACUUAUGUAAGAAGAAACUGUUAAAGACCAUCAUUGUUAUUUUAGUGUAUUCCUUAUUCUCAUAAUAUUUUGUAAUUCCAGUUCAAUUUUGAUGACAAUAUCCCUGAGAUGAAUGUUGUAUAAAAUGCACCUUGUUUUCAGGUUUGAAUAAGACAAUGUACCCCUUUAUCCUUAUUCUUUCAAUAAAGUUAGUUUUAUUAAUAUCAUAUUAUUUGUGUAUGUCUUUAUCAAAUUUAUCAGAUUAUAUGCCAUUUGUAAUAUGUUUUAAUGCAUAUACAGUGGAUGCGGAAAGUAUUCAGACCCAUUGACUUUUUGGGUCUGUUACGUUACAACCUAAUUUUACAAUUUAUUAAAAUGUUGUUUUUUCUCUCUCAUCAAUCUACACACAAUACUCCAUAAUGACAAAGCAAAAACAGGUUUUCAGAAUUUUUGCAAAUGCAUAAAAAAACGGAAAUAUCACAUUUACAUAAGUAUUCAGACCCUUUACUAAGUACUUUUGUUGAAGCACCUUUGGCAGUGAUAACAUCCUUGAAUCUUCUUGGGAAUGACGCCACAAGCUUGGGACACCUCUAUUUGUGGAGUUUCUCCCAUUCUUCUCUGCAGAUCCUCUCAAGCUCUGUCAGAUUGGAUGGGGGGGGGGGGGGGG